UGCCCAGCAACUCCUAUCCCUACCUCCUCGUGGUACUGGCCGGGGUACGAGUAACCUUGGCGAAGAUCGGGUAACAAUUUUGGUCGUAUGCUGACAGGGAAGG
rnacentral:ribozyme from 1 species